AACGCACCUUGCGCUCCUUGGUAUUCCGAGGAGCAUGCCUGUUUGAGUGUCUUGAAGUCAUCAACCUCUCCCGUUUUGCGACGGGUCCGGGUUGGAGCCUGGGGGAUUGCGGCCGCGAGGCUGCUCCCCUCAAAUGCAUCGGUUGGGCCUGCGGGUCGAACUCGGUUGGGCGUUGUACCAUCCUCGCUCUUAUCCCGAGAUGUUCCCCCAUUAAUGUGCCCUCCCACGACCGCCCCCGUUCUGGAGUCGGCGGUCAAGCUUUUGAAGCACUUUGAAAUCUGACCUCAAAUCAGGUAGGACUACCCGCUGAACUUAA
rnacentral:misc_RNA from 1 species